rnacentral:rRNA from 1 species
UACGAAGGACCCGAGCGUUAUCCGGAUUUAUUGGGUUUAAAGGGUGCGUAGGCGGAUUAGUAAGUCAGUGGUGAAAGCCCGUCGCUUAACGGCGGAACUGCCAUUGAUACUGCUAGUCUUGAGUAUGGUUGAGGUGGGCGGAAUGUGUCAUGUAGCGGUGAAAUGCUUAGAUAUGACCCAGAACACCAAUUGCGAAGGCAGCUCGCUAAGCCAUAACUGACGCUGAGGCACGGAAAGCGUGGGGAGCAAACAGG